AGAGUUUGAUCCUGGCUCAGAGCGAACGCUGGCGGCAGGCUUAACACAUGCAAGUCGAGCGGGCGUAGCAAUACGUCAGCGGCAGACGGGUGAGUAACGCGUGGGAACAUACCUUUUGGUUCGGAACAACCCAGGGNAAACUUGGGCUAAUACCGGAUAAGCCCUUACGGGGAAAGAUUUAUCGCCGAAAGAUUGGCCCGCGUCUGAUUAGCUAGUUGGUGAGGUAACGGCUCACCAAGGCGACGAUCAGUAGCUGGUCUGAGAGGAUGAUCAGCCACAUUGGGACUGAGACACGGCCCAAACUCCUACGGGAGGCAGCAGUGGGGAAUAUUGGACAAUGGGCGCAAGCCUGAUCCAGCCAUGCCGCGUGAGUGAUGAAGGCCCUAGGGUUGUAAAGCUCUUUUGUGCGGGAAGAUAAUGACGGUACCGCAAGAAUAAGCCCCGGCUAACUUCGUGCCAGCAGCCGCGGUAAUACGAAGGGGGCUAGCGUUGCUCGGAAUCACUGGGCGUAAAGGGUGCGUAGGCGGGUCUUUAAGUCAGGGGUGAAAUCCUGGGAGCUCANCUCCAGGAACUGCCUUUGGAUACUGAGGAUCUUGCAGUNCGGGGAGAUGUGANUUGGAACUGCCCAGUGUAGAGGUGAAAUUCGUAGAUAUUCGCAAGAACACCGAGU
rnacentral:rRNA from 1 species